rnacentral:lncRNA from 1 species
GAAAUGUGUGGGGGCACCUCCUUCCCUCCUCCGGAAGCUUGAAUCGCCUGCCUGCAUAUGGAUAUGGGUAUGUAUUAAUUUAUUUGUUCAUUAAGAUUCAGGAUUUUCAGAAAAAAAAAUCUAAUAAGUACUGAACUAUGAUACAUAAAAAUAAUAAUGAUUUAUUUUGUGUAAAUAAAAAAUACUUCUUAAAAUUUUUUAAUAUUAUAUUAUUUAUUUUUAAAUUACAUAAGACUAAUGUUCAAAUUACAACUCACAUUACAUUCACUUAAUUAUAUACUAUAAUUAAGAGAGGAAAUAAGUCUUUACAUGCGCUUGAACCCUGUUCUCAUAACUUUAGAGUAAGGUUCUAGAAAGGCCGAGUGAUUUUUUUAAUAUUAUAUUAUAAUCUAUUUAAAUUGUUUAAUUUGAUAUGGUAUAGCACUAUAGCUUGAAUUUCUAAGCUUAAAAUAGGCAUGGCAUUAGAAACUUGCAUCCAAGCGUGAAUAUAUAUAUAUAUAUAUAUAUAUAUAUAUAUAUAUAUAUGUAUUUAAAAAAAUCUUAUUUUUAAUUGCAUAUCAAGCAUCUGAAUUAUGUUUUAUCUUUGUGUAGAUAUUUAAGUGAAAGAUAAUUACUAAAAAUAGUGAUAAUUGAGUCUAAGCGAAAAAACAAAAGAAAAUGGGACCCGCUCCAUUGCAUGAAAGCUACGUGUACAACAACAUGGCUGUAAGGAGACAUAAGACCAAAGCUAAGCAAACACGGCCACUAAACACAAACUCACAACAAAAUCUUUAAUAUCAAUUUUCUUUUCUUUUCUUUUUCUUUUUUUUUUAAAUUUUUCACAGAUUACAUUCAUUUGCACCAUCACAAAUUUUACUUUUGUUUACAUUUAAUUUCAUUUCUCUCUCUCUCUUUUCCUUUCCUCUCAUCUCGUCCAUGGCUGAUGGCUCCCCAGUUUCUUGUUCUGGUCUCUGUUUAAUUUCCAUUAUUCUUCAUCUCUUCUCUCUUUUGUUUGGUAAAAAAUUACAAUAAAAAAGUAANNNNN